AAUUCUCCAAUGCAAUUUGCCAAAGCAAUGUCUACUGUGCUUGACCCCUGGCAGAAAUCUCACCCAGAUGUGGUCCUGCUCCAGUAUGUUGAUGAUUUACUGCUCUGUGCAGAUGACUUUCCAACAGCUAAACACCACUCUGUGGAUCUUCUCUGUUUCCUCGCAGAAGAGGGUUGCAAAGCCUCCAAAGCUAAACUCCAGUGGUGCCGGCCCACAGUGGUCUUCUUGGGAUAUUGUCUUUCCCAUGGCACCCGUCACUUGACAAGA